GCAAGUCGAACGGUAACAGCAAGAGCUUGCUCUUGGCUGACGAGUGGCGGACGGGUGAGUAACGCGUGGGAAUCUGCCUAUUGGCGGGGGAUAGCCCGGAGAAAUCCGGAUUAAUACCGCAUACGCCCUACGGGGGAAAGCUGGGGAUCUUCGGACCUGGCACCAAUAGAUGAGCCCGCGUUAGAUUAGCUUGUUGGUGGGGUAAUGGCCUACCAAGGCAACGAUCUAUAGCUGGUCUGAGAGGACGAUC
rnacentral:rRNA from 1 species